AAGUGAUUCAGUUCCUUACCAUCGACCCAAAAUCAAAUGCUUCACUCAGUUCCAAAACCUCGGGAAAACUCUAUCGAAUGAAAACCUAGAACAUAUAUCAUAUAAGAGGUUAUCUACUUCGAAGAUCUAGUGCUUCAGAGUGUAAAUGAAAUGGAGAAAGAAGCACAUCUGCGUAAGAAGGCUGCCAAUGUCAAGUGCCAGAGGUGCUCAACUUCAAUUGCCACCAAUGCCAACUCAAUCGGCACAUGAACAAAGCCUAUAGGAUUAUUCUUGUUUUUUAUUAGACCUGGGUAUGUUCUCUUCCCUAUAUAUGAUCAUAUCAUGGAUUUAUGUAAACUUGAAAUACUACAAUCCUGUUAAUUUCCGUUGUGCACAUGAUUUGCAAAUCUGAUUUCUUCCUUCAACUGGUAUUAGAGCAUGCUUCCUGAUUUGCAUUAA